rnacentral:rRNA from 1 species
GAGAUCGGGGAUAACACCUGGAAACAGAUGCUAAUACCGGAUAACAACAGAUGAUGCCUAUCAACUGUUUAAAAAAGAUGGUUCUGCUAUCACUCUUGGAUGGACCUGCGGUGCAUUAGCUAGGUUGGUAGGGUAACGGCCUACCAAGGCGAUGAUGCAUAGCCGAGUUAAGAGACUGAUCGGCCACAUUGGGACUGAGACACGGCCCAAACUCCUACGGGAGGCAGCAGUAGGGGAAUCUUCCACAAUGGACGCAAGUCUGAUGGAGCAACGCCGCGUGAGUGAAGAAGGGUUUCGGUUCGUAAAGCUCUGUUGUUGGUGAAGAAGGACAGGGGGUAGUAACUGACCUUUGUUUGACGGUAAUCAAUUAGAAAAGUCACGGGCUAACUACGUGCCCAGCAGCCGCGGGUAAAU